CUCAAAGCCAAUGCUUUUUCAAGUAGCCAACAAAUUACAGAGAUUCAUAAUUAAUAUACCAGAAAUACAUGCAAAUAAUUAUGAUCAGUCAGUAGUAAGUGUCCUUCAUGUCCAGUCUUUUGGGACUUUCCGCAUGUGGAUUCAAGUCUGACUUCACCCUGAAUGUGACUUGUACAGAUUACUCCAGGACUGAGGCUGAACUGACAUUUUCAUGGCAUGAAUAAUGGAUGGUUUAUGUGUCAGUCCACUGGAACUAGAGUGAAACAGAACUUCCUAAACAGCUAUGUGGAAGUGACUGAAUAAAUUCAGAAGUUAUCCCAAGAGGGACAGUUUUUCCUGCAUCUCCUUAAGAAAGUGCUUUGCUUGCUAAUCUUUCUCUCCUUGAUUGAUAGAACAUAAAAGUCUAUGAGCUAGCCAGAGAUAACAGCUUCCUUUUUGACUUAGAGAACAUUUAACAAGGAAAUCAAAGAAUAUCUGCUCAAGUUCCAGGAUACAAAUGGGUUAACAAGUUGUUCAAAUUAUCUGCAAUAGUUCUGACAUUGUGUGGGACUGUAUAGAGAAGCAGCAACAGUACAGUCAGUUGGUUGUUUAAGUUAGUGUUAAAAAAAAAUAUAAUGAACACCAGUCUUGCUUAGGCAUCUGAGUAGAUAUAAAUACAGUGGAUUAAAUCUUUACCUAGUUUAAAUUAUUAUAGCUUAUAUUGACUUCAGCAGAGUCAUCGUUACUCUGGUGUUAAUAAAUGGAACAUAGAAAAACUGGAUAGAACAAUUACAAGUGUCCAUAUACAUUUCAGAAUAAAUUUGUUGUCACUCUUCAGAAAAUCAACUACUGUCAUGGAAAAUCAGUGAAAAUCUCUUUAACAACUGCAAGAGGUACCUUAGGAAUAGCUUAGGUUAGAAUAGGAGAGAAAAUAAAAUUGGAAAUAUUAUAAUACUGUUAUAUAUGUUGAUGUUGAUGUACAUAUACAUACAUACAUUUACAAUGACAUUAUAUAAAAAUAUACAUAUAGUAUUUGUUACUCGAUUAUGUGUACAUAUAUUUUUAUAUACAUAUAUAAUAUUGUGUAUUGGUUUUGUAAAAAAGCUCAUAAAUGGGUGAUGGAAAGCUGUUGAAGCUAGGGAAAGAACAACCAAACAUUGUGAGAAGGUUUCACCGUAUUUCCAUUCAGGUGGGAAGGGGCUUCAGGUCUCUGGUCCAACCUCCUGACCAAACCAGGGUCAUCCCUGGGAUCAGAUAAGGCUGCCUGGGGCUUUCUCCAGGCAGGCUGUAAAACCCUCCAAAGAUGGAGCCUGCACAGCCUCAACCUGUUCCACUGCAUGACUCUCCUCAGGGUAAGAGUUUUUUCUUUAUAUCCAACCCAAACCUCUCUUGCUUCAACUUGUGUUCACUGCUUCUUGUCCUUCUACCACAAAACUGGUCUUCCCAGUUGUUCACCUGAAAGCUUGCUUGGGAGUCCAUUACAAUUCAAUGUGCUCAUAAAAACUUCAGGGAAAGCACCCACUUGGAGAGGAUUUUGUGUAACUUCUGGCUGACACUGCCGAUACUGAUUGCACUGAUAGCAAUACUAGAUUAGGCAGGCUGUGGUUCUUGAAUUUGUAAAUGUUAUGUUUCUCUUUUUGUUUGGCUAUAUUGUGAAUAUUUUGCCAGCACUUUCUUACCCAUACUAUUUCCUGGACAACAUUAAUAUUGAUAUUAAUAUGUUCAUAGGUUAGUAAAGCAUGACUAUUAAGAACCUGA